UUUAGGUCCAGGGUCCUUGCUAGUAGUAGCGGGGAAGUUUGUAAGAACUCACUGUUUGAUUCAGGCCGAGGCAGGCAGGCUUUGGCCCAGUGGUUGCCGAUGACAGCUGCGCAGAUCUUUACUCAUCAGCAGCCCACGAGGAAAGAGAGCGAUUAAUGGCCGCAGCUCCCUUAUAUGGGCAGGGGCUGGCUGCUUUAGGAUUGGUCGCCACCAUCUGUCAAUCAGCUUUACAAGGUAUUGUGGAUAUCACAUGACCCAGAACCUCCAAAGGUCCUCUUACCUACCAUAGAGACUCAACUACAGUCACAUGACCCGCAGGCCCUGCGACGCUAUGCAAGCCAAUCAGAAAGCAGCACGACUCAAAUAGAACUCCCGUGAGGUCACACAUGUGAUGUCAUCAGUGAGGGGCCUAAACUGUAGGAACCUAGGAAUACACAUUCAUACCCGCCUGUGACUGAUGCACACCUUCCAGGCUGUGGGGCAGCACAUACACGGACACAUUGGCCCAAAUUCUAGAGGUAACCUCCUUUAGUAUGCCCAGAGGAAGGGCAGUACAGUAGCCAUGGAUUCCCUACAGGUUUCCUCCCCUCUGGAGGUUUUUCCUGUCCUGAGUUAGUUACUGUCCGCUCUUUGUGAGUGAUGGAGGUUACAUAAAAUCCCUACACAGACAUUUUAAUAAAUAAUAAAUAAAGUUCCCUUUUUUUAAACUGUU